rnacentral:rRNA from 1 species
UACGAAGGGGGCUAGCGUUGUUCGGAUUUACUGGGCGUAAAGCGCACGUAGGCGGAUCGUUAAGUCGGGGGUGAAAUCCUGGAGCUCAACUCUGAAACUGCACUCGAUACUGCUCUGCUUGAGGACUGGAGAGGAGACUGGAAUUCACGGUGUAGCAGUGAAAUGCGUAGAUAUCGUGAGGAAGACCAGUGGCGAAGGCGGGUCUCUGGACAGUUCCUGACGCUGAGGCGCGAAGGCCAGGGGAGCAAACGGG